CACUUAGAAGGUUUGAAACCUCUAAUUGGUGAUACACUCCUUGUUGCAGGGACACUUUUCUUUGCCAUGAGCAAUGUUGGUGAGAAGGACAAUGAUUCCUGAUCUAUCUGAAUGAGGUUUAACACCAAGAACCAGAUUAGGCCUUGGACAACUCAGAUGGAAAUUAAAUCUUGUCUGCAUCACUGCUCCAUCUCCAAAUUGACUUGAGCUUUUCUUAUUUACUGACAUUCUAUUUUUGUACAGAUUUAUAUACACUGGAUCUGUAGAAAUUAUAUUGGAUAUUGCACAAGAUCUCCUCAUAGCUACUGAUCAGUAUCUCUUGCAGGGAUAAAGCAUCCCUGUGAGUGUACCAUUGCCCAUGAUAUAUCACUAGAAAAUGUUUCAAGAAUGCAUGAGCUUUCAGAAGCCUUCCAUGCUAUUUCCUUAAGACACACAUGCCUCAUGUCUAUCUUGGAGCAGUUUAGUAAACUGAGUUCUAGGGCCGAUUGAAAGGCACGAUGAG